GAUGAACGCUAGCGGGAGGCCUAACACAUGCAAGCCGAGCGGUAUUUGUUCUUCGGAACAGAGAGAGCGGCGCACGGGUGCGGAACACGUGUGCAACCUGCCUUUAUCUGGGGGAUAGCCUUUCGAAAGGAAGAUUAAUACCCCAUAAUAUAUUGAGUGGCAUCACUUGAUAUUGAAAACUCCGGUGGAUAGAGAUGGGCACGCGCAAGAUUAGAUAGUUGGUGAGGUAACGGCUCACCAAGUCAAUGAUCUUUAGGGGGCCUGAGGGGGUGAUCCCCCACACUGGUACUGAGACACGGACCAGACUCCUACGGGAGGCAGCAGUGAGGAAUAUUGGACAAUGGGUUAGCGCCUGAUCCAGCCAUCCCGCGUGAAGGACGACGGCCCUAUGGGUUGUAAACUUCUUUUGUAUAGGGAUAAACCUACUCUCGUGAGAGUAGCUGAAGGUACUAUACGAAUAAGCACCGGCUAACUCCGUG
rnacentral:rRNA from 1 species